AUACGUAGGGGGCGAGCGUUGUCCGGAAUGAUUGGGCGUAAAGGGCGCGUAGGCGGCGCGGUAAGUCUGGAGUGAAAGUCCUGCUUUCAAGGUGGGAAUUGCUUUGGAUACUGCCGCGCUUGAGUGCAGGAGAGGUUAUCGGAAUUCCCGGUGUAGCGGUGAAAUGCGCAGAGAUCGGGAGGAACACCAGUGGCGAAGGCGGGUAACUGGACUGCAACUGACGCUGAGGCGCGAAAGUGUGGGGAGCAAACAGGAUUAGAUACCCUGGUAGUCCACACUGUAAACGAUGAAUGCUAGGUGUAAGAGGUAUCGACCCCUUUUGUGCCGGAGUCAACACAAUAAGCAUUCCGCCUGGGGAGUACGGCCGCAAGGUUGGAACUCAAAGGAAUUGACGGGG
rnacentral:rRNA from 1 species